AUGUGCGUGUGGGGUCUGUCGCAACGUGGGAGUCAGAGAUCGAUUUAGUUAUUUUUUCUCGGUUUUACACACAGGCUCGUGGUCCUGUGAGAAACAUUUGCCUUUUAUCUAAAAUAUAAUAAUAAGUAGUUUCUAAUUAUAAAUAUACUAUUUUAAACAUUAGUUAUAGAAAUAAUAAGUUUUUUCGGACUCACGAGGCUACUCAAGCUCAAUAAGUGAAGUUCGGGAUCGUAUAAACUCGACUCGUUUCAAGCUUUUAGGUAGCACCCUCGAGCAUAGUUGUAAAACAAUGUUUCCAAGUCCGAGUAAUUGCUCCAAGGUAGGCUGUCGAGACGACUUUUUGCAUCCCGGCCUAAUUACUCGGAAUCGAUCAAACGCGACCAGCCUCGACUAGAAUCGGAUCUCGUAGGUCAACUAAGGCCGAGUUUGAUUUAAAAAAAAAACAUAAUUUCUAUGCCGAUCAUAUUAAAGAAUGAAUAUCGUUUCACAUAUUUUGUUAUAAUUAUUAAUAAAUUUAUAUUCUUUGACAUAUAUUUAGUUUCCGAAAACUAUUUCUUUAUAAUUUCGUAUGUCUGAGUACUCCCCGAAUACUCUCAAUUCCCUACUCGACCGACUAAGGAGCGUCUAGCGACUUUUAAAACCAUGCCCUCGAGUAGCUUACGAGGGGCUUGAAUAAUUUAGCGGUAAGCAACAUUUAACCAAUUAAGAAAUUUGGAACCAAAAAGUAUGAUAAACAAUUUUUCUUGACUAAAUACAAACAAUUUUUCUUCACUUACAUAAACAUUUAACCAAUUAAGAAAUUUGGAACCAAAAAGUAUAAUAAAAAAACUUGAGUGACACCACCUUGUGGUUUGGUGAAAACUCUUGUAUAGCUUAAGAAUUUUGUGGGUCAACCCUGAAAAUCAAAAGGAAGAAGAAGAAGAAGAAGAAACUAUAUUAGAUUUCCAAAAGACAAAUAAACAUCAAUUGUUUUAAGGUAAGGUAACAAGGAUCAAAGCUUACCUUAAGUUUGAUCCGAGUUUCGCUUUGAGGCUGCUUGGAACCUGACCCGUCAAAUUAUUGCUUUGCA
rnacentral:lncRNA from 1 species